AGUACUUGUCCUUGCCUUUGUUGAAAUGAUGGCAAAAACUUAAAGACAGGUGCAAAAAUAAAUCCUCUUUUGCAACCCAGAGCUCACUGUUAAGUAUGAGUUUUGAUACAGAUAAGAAGGAAUAUU
rnacentral:snoRNA from 1 species